rnacentral:rRNA from 1 species
UACGAAGGGGGCUAGCGUUGCUCGGAAUCACUGGGCGUAAAGCGCACGUAGGCGGACUCUUAAGUCGGUGGUGAAAUCCUGGAGCUCAACUCCAGAACUGCCUUCGAUACUGAGAGUCUCGAGUCCGAGAGAGGUGAGUGGAACUGCGAGUGUAGAGGUGAAAUUCGUAGAUAUUCGCAAGAACACCAGUGGCGAAGGCGGCUCACUGGCUCGGUACUGACGCUGGGGUGCGAAAGCGUGGGGAGCAAACAGG